rnacentral:rRNA from 1 species
CUACGGGACGCUGCAGUGGGGAAUAUUGGACAAUGGGGGAAACCCUGAUCCAGCAAUGCCGCGUGUGUGAAGAAGGCCUGCGGGUUGUAAAGCACUUUCGGUUGGGAGGACUGCUUCUAGCACUAAUAUUGUUGGAAGUUGACGUUACCUUCAGAAGAAGCACCGGCUAACUACGUGCCAGCAGCCGCGGUAAUACGGAGGGUGCAUGCGUUAAUCCGAAUUACUGGGCGUAAAGCGCGCGUAGGCGGCUAGAUCAGUCGGGUGUGAAAGCCCCGGGCUUAACCUGGGAACUGCAUCCGAUACUGUCUAGCUUGAGUACAGGAGAGGAGAGUGGAAUUCCACAUGUAGCGGUGAAAUGCGUAGAUAUGUGGAGGAACACCAAUGGCGAAGGCAGCUCUCUGGCCUGAUACUGACGCUGAGGUGCGAAAGCGUGGGGAGCAAACAGGAUUAGAUACCCUCGUAGUC